AGACGCGGCUCAGAUCCCACGUUGCUGUGGCUCUGGUGUAGGCCAGUAGCUACAGCUCCGAUUAGACCCCUAGCCUGGGGACCUCCAUAUGCCACAGGAGUGGCUCAAGAAAAGGCAAAAAGACAAAAAAAAAAAAAAAAAAAAAAAAGAGGGAAACUAAGUUUUUAGGUUAGUAUUUGCUUGGAAAGCUCAUUUUGGAAAAGCAAAUAUUUUUUGUAUAUGCCACAUCUGGCUUAAAAGACAAAAAUUCAAAUAUAAAUUACACUCAUCAUACUAGUUUCAUUCAAUAAAAGUUCUGGCAUGUUUAUCAUUUCUGCUUUUAAAUUAUUUUUAUAAGAAGCCAUUUUGAAACUAUAACCAUGCAGAAUUAACUAUAAGCUUUUUGUAUAUCCCAAAUCUAGCAUUGUGAAACUACUUACAGCUACUUACUGACAGAAUGACAAAUGAAUGUCCUCUUGAUUGUAGUGAAAGAUGACUGACUUAAUGAGCCACGUCUUACUUGUCAAUUAGGUUUUUUCCCCUGUAUGUCUCUUUAUAGAUAAAGCAAUUCCUUGAAACCGCAUUUAUAGGGAAGAGGAAGAAAUAUAUGAUCCCUGUCUUUGCCCUGAAGGAGAAUAGCCCUGAACAUAAAUUUUUAAUAUAUUGAUUUAUAAAAUUACUAUUUUAUUUUUAAAACUAUAAGUAUUUAAUAUGCCAUGAGUGUAUUUUAUAUACAAUAUAUACUGUAUUCAGUCACGUCCCUUGACCAUGGUUUUCUAUGUUCCCUUUGUUACUUUAUGAAUUAGCAUGAUACAUGUUUUACUUACUUCAAGUCAUUCAAAAUAUAUCAUUAAUAUUGUAAUUCUAUUUUCUGCAAAUAAAACAAAAUCCAUGCUACAGAGAUCCAGACUUCAAGUUAGUUUAAUGGUCUUUGGACUAUGGAUCAAAGAAAGGUGAUCAGUUAGUGGAAAUUGAAAAAUACCUGUUCUUAUUUUUUAGAAUUCUUAUUAUAAAACUUAUUAACACAUGCUUUUUUUCUUAACAACUAAUUGGUUUCUUCAUAAGCAUAAUGUGACUUUUAUUCUGGAGGGAAUUUCUUGGUUGGAGAUAUUUAUCAUCAUGGGGUGAAUGGAGUGCAAGAAGGAACAUAAAGUUAACAGAAAAAAUGCAAAUAAGAACAGAAAAUAUAAAAUGGUGGUUAUAACUCAUUGUGUGUUGAUAGCCUACAUUUUUAAAGAUUUUAUCUUGUGUCAUGAUGUUUCAGACUUAUUUCAUUUGAAUUAUAUUUAAAUAUCACUAGGGAAAGUCUCAAGUAAUAGUGAUACUUUAAAACUAUUAGUGAAAAAGAGAAAUAGAGAAGUCUUCCCCUAAAUGUUGCAUUUUCCUCCACUGAUCUUUAGAUAUAAUCUCUGCCUCAGUUCCCAUGUCGCCAGUUUCUUUUUAUGGCAGAUGGAUCCUCAGAGAGAUCUAGGCUUGUAAUGAAGCACUUUGAAUCUUUCUUCUUCCUUGCUUUUUUCACCAAAUGUCUACAUGUAAUUUUUCCUAUGAUCAUAUAUUCCUUCCUGUGCUUCUCAUCCUCUGAAAUCUUAUAUCUUCUGUUUAUAUUAGGCCAUUGUUUCUCAUACCCCCCUCCUUUCUUCCUAGACCCCCUCACCAUUAAUUAUGUCCGAUCUUUUAGUCCUUAGUAAGUAAUAUGUCCAAAGAUAAAUGAUUAGCUGAGAGUCUGAAGCGUAAAUAUUUAUAUGACUGAUACCAUUGUGAUUAAAAGUAAAGAUACCUUUUUGCAGAAUUAUAGAAACAAAAAUACGAGUAAAGCUAUGUAUGUUGCUCUUGUGCUUUGGAAUAAUAUAUUUUUUUCUAAAAGGGUUAGCUGUAAGAUCAUAGUUGAUAAAGUCAGCCAGUAACAGUUGGACUACUACUUUACUUAAAUAAUUCUGUAUCAUUGGUUUUUCUACUGGGGUUAAAGGACAUAAUUAUUAGCAAGCAGUUUUCUACCCCAAACAACCUACCAGAUAAAUUGGAGAAGUUAUCUUAAGAGAUCAGCUUUUCUUAUUCAACAUUUUAAGUAAAGUAAGUUCUAGGUUUAAGUAAAGAGAUUUCUUUUUUGGCUGCACCAAGGAUAUAUGGAAAUUCCCAGGGGUCAAAUCCGAGUCACAGCAGUGUGACUUUGCCACAGCUGUAGCAAUACCAUACCCUCAACCCACUGCACUAGCUCAGGGAUCCAACCCACACCUCUGCAAUGACCCGAGCCGCCACAAAGACAGUGCUUUAUCCUUAACCCACAGUGGGAUUCCAGAGAUUAUUAACUUGUACCUGUAAUGUGUUAUUUUAAAGGAUUAACCCAAUGUUCCAAAAUGCACUUCUCUCCUUCCAGUCAUCCCCUAGAACUAAAAAUUACAACCUGAGAUUCAUUUCCUAGGAUUGUAUUUCUAGGUCCACUUUGUAAAACUUCAAACAAUUCUAAGAGACAGUUACACACAAAGAAGAUGGAAUGACACAUAAAUUGGGUAUUAUAUAUCUUUACAAAAGGAACAAAGAGUUGCAUGAGGAACAGUGAGAAAGAAAACAUCCAGGGAUUUAAAACAGACAUUUCUGCAGAUAACAGUCACAUACCAGCCUGCCCAGGGUUUCUCAAUCUUGACUCCACUGACAGUUUUAGCCAGAAAAGUCUUUACUGUGGGGACCUGCUCUGUGCAUUAUGGUGUCUUUAGUAGCAUCUCUGACUUCUACCCACUGGAUGCCAGAGGCGCCUUGCCAAUUGUGACUACCAAAAAUGUAUCUGACCUUCGGAGAAGUCUUUCAAGGCACUUGCCCCCAUUUGAGAACCACUGGCACAAUAAAGGAUGGAGUGAUAAUCGAAUCAAAUACCUUAUAACCAUCACCUCAUUUAGUUCUUGAAACAAACCAAAAAGGUGACAUUAUUUGCUGAACUGUGGUCUAGGGAAGAUUUUGUUUGUUUGUUUGUUUAAUACAAGGUUACAAUCUAACAAGUGGCAAAACCCGAGUCCACUUUAAAAUUUACACUCAACAGCAGUGUAGGUUGAAUGGAAGGUGACAAAUAAAUGUGCCCACUUAACAGCUUUGCUGAGGUCCGGCACUCGUCAUUUUUCUCCUCGUUACUGUCGAUUUUUAGAGUUCAUUUCUUACUCAAGAAACUGGCCCAUGUAUAGAAUUUUAAAAGUGAUUUAACUUUAUUUCCCACUUUGCGCUCAGUGCUUGGAUUAUGGUUGUUAGAUUAUGAUUUGUGAAAGUGCUUGGAAGCCAGGAAAAAGGCUGAGUUUUACUGUUACUAUGAUAGAUUUGAUGGCAUUUGGAAGUAAACAUUGCCUAUAAAGAGAGUAAGAGUGUGCAAACCUGGGAGAUUCGGCUAUAAACUGUCAGCAUUUUUUUUUUCAUCUUUUCUCCCAAAAUUUAUCUGUGAAGUGCUCAUUUUUAAAAAUUUCAUUUAUGGAUGUGAAAGUAAGUGGAAAAGUGAUUACUUCAUUUCCCUAUUCAUUUAUUCAUUCUAUUGACAAAUAUGUAGUCUUCAUGAGGGCAGGACUUCCAUUCUGUCCCUAUUUCUCCCUGUUAUGAUGGUUAUUUCUUGCAAAAUGACUCUCUGGAAGGUAAUCGACAAUAACAGGUAUUUAUCAAAUGAAAAACAAUACCAAUUAAUACAUUUUUCUUAUACUUAUUAUAUGUAUCAGAAAAUGAUCUAAGUACAAUCACUUUAAAAAACAGUCUGGGAAGAUGUGUGGGACAAGGAGUAGAUGAAGAAUGCAUGUGUAUGUAGUAGAAAUAAUAUAAUUUGUUAUUUACUGUGGACCUAUGAAUUCAUGAGAGUACUAACAUUUUAAGUCUAAGUAAAUAAUUUCUUAUUUAUUGCUUCUAUCUAUUUCUAGCCAAAAGUAUGGUCAAAAUUAUUAAAAUGUGAACCUACUAAAUAGUAAUUGAGCAGAGAUUAUCUUUACUAUCCACAGCUACAUUGCUUUUUCCCUUGCUGGUAUUUAGCAGCUUAAAGCAACACCCACAUAUUAGCUCACAGUUCAGACCUUGAGAGUAACCGAGUUUUCUGCUCGGUGUGUUAUGAGGCCAAAAAUGAAAGCGUCAGUCAGGCUGAAUUCUUAUCUAUAGGAUCUGGGAGAGAAAUCCACUUCCAAGCUCAUUUUUGUUGUUGUCAGAAUUCAGUUCCUUGUGAUUAUAGAACUGAGGUCUCUGCUCGCUGGCUGGCUGGCUUCUUGGAAGCUCCUCAACUCCUAGAGGCCUUCAACAUUCUUUGAUCAUGCCUCCCUUUAUUUUGAGGCAAGUAGUAGGGUGUCAAAUCCUUCCCAUCCAUCCAGUCUCAGAUUUCUUUUGCAAACAGUUGGAGAGAAAAAAAGAAAAAAAGAAAAAAAAGAAAAAA
rnacentral:lncRNA from 1 species